UGCCUGCCCAGUGACAACUGUUUAACGGCCGCGGUAUCCUGACCGUGCAAAGGUAGCAUAAUCAUUUGUUCUCUAAAUAAGGACUUGUAUGAAUGGCCGCACGAGGGUUUUACUGUCUCUUACUUCCAAUCAGUGAAAUUGACCUUCCCGUGAAGAGGCGGGAAUGCACAAAUAAGACGAGAAGACCCUAUGGAGCUUUAACUAACCAACCCAAAGAGAAUAGAUUUAACCAUUAAGGAAUAACAACAAUCUCCAUGAGUUGGUAGUUUCGGUUGGGGUGACCUCGGAGAAUAAAAAAUCCUCCGAGCGAUUUUAAAGACUAGACCCACAAGUCAAAUCACUCUAUCGCUUAUUGAUCCAAAAACUUGAUCAACGGAACAAGUUACCCUAGGGAUAACAGCGCANUCCUAUUCAAGAGUCCAUAUCGACNAUAGGGUUUACGACCUCGAUGUUGGAUCAGGACAUCCUGAUGGUGCAACCGCUAUCAAA
rnacentral:rRNA from 1 species